GUGCCAGCCGCCGCGGUAAUACGGAGGGUGCAAGCGUUAUUCGGAAUUACUGGGCGUAAAGCGCGUGCAGGCGGGUGGACAAGUCUGAUGUGAAAGCCCUGGGCUCAACCCGGGAAGUGCAUUGGAAACUGUUCAUCUUGAGUGCUGGAGAGGAAGGGGGAAUUCCCGGUGUAGAGGUGAAAUUCGUAGAGAUCGGGAGGAAUACCAGUGGCGAAGGCGCCCUUCUGGACGGCAACUGACGCUGAGACGCGAAAGCGUGGGGAGCAAACAGGAUUAGAUACCCUGGUAGUCCACGCUGUAAACGAUGAGCACUAGGUGUAGCGGGUACUCAUUCCUGCUGUGCCGCAGCUAACGCGUUAAGUGCUCCGCCUGGGGAUUACGGUCGCAAGACUAAA
rnacentral:rRNA from 1 species